GCCAAGUACAAAAUGUGCAUGUGCAUUCUUUGGCAUUUUUCGCGCAACAUGUAUCAAGCCAGUUUUAAGACUGCUAACUUUUUCUUCCCGAGAUGAAGGGACCCCAUGAACAUUAUGAUCAGCCUCUGCAUCAGCUCCAUUACAAUCAGGAGGACAUUCUAACUUACCCAUUCUUGAACGGCAUUUUCCCAAUUUUUUCAAUUGUUUACCUUCUGUUUCUGCAAUCUCUAUGUCUUUCUUCAGCUUAUCCUGACAAAUUUCAUCAGCUAUUACCCUGGAUAAACAUAUAGGAGACACAGCAGCUACGGGUACUGAAUCAUUGCCGUCGGAAUCAGGAGGGUCAACGUUGAGGUCAGCCAAAACGAUUUUCGACGGCUGAUACUGAAGUGGUGGCUGUAACCUCACGGAGCCGGAGUUCCUGUCAACGACGAGAGAUUCUGACUUCAUUG
rnacentral:misc_RNA from 1 species